CACACUGCAUCCGUGGAGAUCCAGGGGUUGAAAGGAACGGCCUGUGCAUUAUUAAAAACCAGAAAGUGUCCGCGGGCUCAGAUGCUGCCCUGCAUCUCAGAGGAAGAAACGGUACAGAGGAAGGCCAAGGCUAAAGAGCAGGCAGCCUGGGGCCGUCCCUUCAGGCUCCACCACAGCUGUGCCUUCCUAAGGACUGAGAGAUGCUGUGCCCAUAUGCCCUGCUGUGCAGACCCAUGUCCCAUCCAGAGUGUGCAGCUAUUCUGCUAGAGAUGAAACAGAUCCCAUUGGGAAAGAGCCCUGAAGCCCCACUGACUGCAGCAGUCCAGAGCUGAGGUGAGCCCGACAAGAGCAGCUGUCUGUCAACGUGAUGAAGACAAGGACAGGCCACACAAACAUGAGGCCAGUGUGGAGCUGAACAAGCCUCGUGUCGCAGCCCCGACAGUAUCACAGGCUGCAGGUUCCAGUGUUAAUGUGUUGGAUGUAAAGCCUCUCUAGCCCUUACCUCAAGGGAAUGGGGAUGGGGUGGGGGUGGGCUACACAUGGGUGACCAUAGCCUGAAAACACGGGUUCAGGUUAUCUCACAAAUGACAUAUUCCACCGUGGAAGUGGUUACAGACACUUCAUUAGAUAUGGAACAACAACAACAAAAAGUCAUAAAUCAAAGCGUUUGUCCAAUCUGAAAUACAUUUGUGGAGACCACAAGUAAGCACUGAUUUAGGAUUCAGAUGUUAUCUGAUGACAGGCUUGGCCUUUGGAUUGGUGGAAGCUGUGCUCUGCUAAGAACAGGAUGUUAGGUCAGAUACACAGGAGUGGGCAAUGGAUGGCUUUCAAAGGAACUAAAAAUAGCUCUGCGUAAUUGGGUCUGGAACAUUCUAACUCUUUAUGAUCCCAGUCAGUCACUUGGCCUUGAAGAAUCUUUAACCCAGGUGUGUGGCUUUUCUUUUCCUCUGUUUACAGUAGGGGAGAGGGUGACCACCCUGUAACCCAGUGGAAUGGGUUCUGUUCUAGCCUGGUGCCGGUGAAUCCCUCUCUGCAGCUGAUGAAGUAUAUAACAGGUUUGACUGUGUUGUGGAUUAGAACUUAAUACAUACGAAAGGGCCUCUGUCUUCAAUGUUCUCUCUGAUAGAGCUGCAAGGCCUGAGUGAACACUGGACACUUAACAGAGACGGUGUGUGUGUGUGUGUGCGCGCGCGCGCGCGCGUGUGUACGUGCGCGUGCACACACGCGCGUGCCAAGGUAGUGGGACAUAUGUUUGAGACGCAGGACAGGCAUGAAUGCACCAUUUCCCAUCCCUACAAGGAAGACCCUGUCUUACCUAUGUCUCUGCCUCUAGAUGUUUACAAAGAAGAUACAUUCCUCUUCAUCCCUGAUACCCGCAACCACCUCUAGCAGCAAGGAAACCAGGAAAUUGUGUGGACAGCCUGGCCAGCAAACACGUGGAAUAUGCAAAGGAGAUUGCUCACAGCAGACCAGCACGGUCGAUCAGUCAUCAGGCAGAGGCCAAAUUGCUAUCUGUUUCAUCGAGUUUAUUGGUGGUUGCUGUAUUUAUGUCUGUGAUUUAUAACUAGGUGUCAUCAUGAGCCUUGGCAGAUUUGGGAGACUACUAAAUGUAUGAUUGGUAGACAUCAAGACUCAAUUGCUUUCCAGUUUGAUGAUAGCUUAAAGGGUCCUUCAACUCACUCACCUACGCCAGCAGAAGAGGGUUUGUGCUGAACAACACAGAACAUUUUGUAAAAGAAGCAUUCCUCUUAUAAGCAGCUCUGUGUCCUCUUAUAAGCUGCUGUGUGUAGGGUAAGAGUUUACCGGCAAGGCGACAACGUUAAGCCAAGGACACGGCCACCUCUAUUUGAAUAGGUCUUAACCACUUUUCCUCUUGGCUCUGAUGCUGUCUUAUUCUGGACCAUAAAACAAGCACAGUGUGUUGUUUUCGUUAUUGCUUUUUAAAAGCGAUGUACAUACUGUUAUCUGUUUAGAUCUGCAUGUGUGUCCCUGUAUGUAACACAUACAUACACACAGGCUUACACACGCACACCCCUGGUGGCCCUCUCCUUGGUGGACCGAGAUGGCGAUGAUGCAAUGUUCUUCAGUUUGAUAGGUGUGCUUAACCCACAUCAGUCAUGUUUAUGAUAUGCCUGUUCUUUAUUUAAAAUUAACUUGAGGGGCUAUGGCUGUGACUUAGUGGUAAAGCACUUGCCUACUACAUGUGAGGUCCUAUCCUUUCCCUCCCAAUGUAAAGGACCUUGGGGAUAGGGCGAGCAUCUGAAAGGCCUUAUCAUGGCUUAUACCAGGAUGGGUCUCUGACAGCCUGGCUUGACCCUCAACUUUCCUAUUUUGAUAAGAUCCUAGGAAAAUUCACUGAAGUACACUAGCACAAACCUUUGGAUCUUGUCAUGGUUUCCCAUAAUCCAAUUAAGUUUCUGGCAUUCAGAAUCACAUAGCAUCUAUUGUACAAAAUGAAUAAAAAAUGUGAACUACAACUCUUGAUAGAACAAAUAAAAUGAUCACUCAUUAGGUUAUCAACAUCACAAAGCAUCGAGGCUGUUUCCUCUGGGAGUGGAGAGACUGGUUCUGGGCGCAGAGCCUGGACACUGACUGGCACGGGGCUGAAGUCUCCCUCCAACGGCAGCUAGCUUGCAGGCGGAGCCCUUUAAAGAGAGACGAAAUUUAUGUGGUGUCAGCAAAACCCACACUCAGAUGGCCCAAAGCUGAAAGAAUUUGACCAGGCAGGUGCUGCUGCGUGCCUGCUCCACUGAGAGGCUGACAAAUGACAGAUGUCUCUGCAUUUGCAACCAUAAGCAUGAAGUCCGGAUGUUAUCACUCAGAUUCCUGAACUCAUCUUCUCUGCAUUCUUAUGCGACUGCCCAACCUUCAUUCGGCACACUAAAGCCAGCCAAAUUAAGCAAACGGGGAAAAGAAACAAAACUUCCUUUGAGUGCAUUACUUUCCACACGAAAGCUCACUCUCCACUUGAAUGUUUGGGAAAGUUCCCCUGUGACAGGGUAUGAGCACGGCUAUACCAGGAAGCAAAGUGGAGAAGAAGCCUGUCCUUAGAGCUUUCUAGAAGGGUCGGAGGGGAGAAACAGUGGAGUCCGGCUCCCACAUCUGGGUCUGCUAUCUGAGAAGCCUGAGAGAGUGGUCGGGCUUCUUGGGGGGCUGGUGGUUGCCACAGUGAGAACUGCGGACCUUCUCUGUCUUCGGAAGUCACUGUCCCAUCCAGCUAGGUGAGGCCUGAGGUUGGUGCCUCUCACUUUGCGUGUUCUAGUAUGUUGAUGGGGCUAAGAGCGGCUGCCAUAUAGCUUGGACAGUUUAUCAGAUGAAGGGUAAGAAUGGAAGAAGCUAGCUGAGACCGUCAGAGACCUUUUUGGGGGGGAUGUGACUAGAAGACAGAAGCGGAGGGUAAGAACAUGGCUGACCUAGUGGUAGCUUUGGUCCGGUUCCCAUCAACAAAACAGUGAGAAGAGCAAAGAUUGGUGCAGCGCUCUCUGUGCCCGGGCACCGUCCUGAGGAAAUCACAUCUCGUCACAUUACGUCACGUCACGUCACGUCACGUCACGUGCCAUCUCAUUUAAUGCUCACCAGCUCUCUGUGUCGGUACUCUUCACGGAGAGGAAGCAGGUGAACAGGGUACAACUUUUAUCUAAAACCACACAGCUGUAGGUUCCUGGAGGAAGACCAAAGCUUUCUGUUUUGACUGUGACAGAGGUUUUGUUGUUGUUGUUGUUGUUGUUUUAGAUGAUGGUUGUUAGAGUGUAUGAGUGCUUUGCUUGCAUGUAUGUUUGGUGUCCAAGGAGGCAAUGAACCUGCAUGUGGGUGUUGAGAAAUGAACCUGGGUCCUCUUUGCAAGAGCACCAAGUGCUCUUAACCACUGAGGCAGCAU